GGCUGAGGAACCUCGCCUGGGGCAUUCAAAUAAAUUACUUGGCCCUUUGUUGCCUCUCUUUGCCUGCUUAUUUCGGCUAGAAUUUAUCUUACAUUUGGUGCCAAAAUUCCAGAAAGGAGCGUGACCGCGGGGCCCCGACCGGCCAUCAGUGGCCCUGCCCCCUCCUUCCCCAACCGGGAAACUCAGCCUGCUCUCUGCUGCGUGGACUAUUUUCCGGGAAUUUCCAAGGAUCGUCUACAGUACAAAAAUUCUUCAUAUUUGCUGACCUGACAACUUCGUUAUAAGUCCAAAAAGGUGACAGUGUGUAAGCUGAUAUUCCAAAGGGGAAAAGAAAAGUAAAGAACACAAGAUUCUUCAAGGUUGACACAGCAGACUUACUCAGCAAGAACCUGACCUACAACAGGAAGGCAUGCAUGUAUAUACAUGUGCAUGUGCACAUGCACACAAUUUUCUCCACUUAUUAUGGAGCAGAGGCCCAACCACACUCAGUAUGUGAUGUAUUAUGCAGCACAUGUUCCAUUUUUCUUUUUUAAAAAUCUGAAUCAUUCUUAAUUUUGAAAUACAUAAAUAGCAGGGUUUUGCAUAAGCUAUUGCGUGUGUGCAGUUAACUAAUUAUAAACUAUAAUGCAAUACAGCGUGUACUUAGGCAUGAACCAGACAAUUUCACCUUUGAAAUUUAAGUGGCUAGUGUCUACCCAAAAUAAAUCAGAGCAUUGUCUGUAAAAUAACCCAGCAGUAAGGGAGUGGGCCUAGAGAUCAAGUUUCUAUUAAUCAAGAGUUAUACUUAUUUCUCAGAUAAUUAUAGCAGCUAAGAUGUGCCCUCAGGAAUGACCUUUAAUUCAUGUAAAUUCUAACCCUAAUAACCUAGCAACAGAAGUAAAAAGGAAAAGGAGAAUUAAGGAGCAAGUGGUGAUUUAUCAUAUCAGUGUUUCCAGAACUCAUCUCAUAAGAAUCACCUGAGACACUGUUGUAAGAUUUCUAGUUCCCCCCAUGGAACUCCUCAGUCACUGUAUCUGCAAAAGGCCUCAGGAAUUCUAUCAAUAUUGGGUAUCUAGAAACAAUUAUCUUUAGACUACAGAAUGGUAUCUUGUCCAGUUAACCUACUUUGAAAGCAAUUUAAACUCAUCUAUUUUGCUUAGAUGCAAAGCACACAGUAUCCUGUUAUGUAAAUUUUCUCCCUUGUAGUUUUGAGCAAAAAGGAACAUAUGUAAUUCACUAGUAUUUUGUGAAUAUUUGAACACCAUGGUUUAUAAUUUCGUGUUUUAUGAGUUUAAUUGCUUACAACAAAACUCGGGUCAGACCUCAAGAAGUUAAUAAUUGAGUAAUUUUUCAUUGAAUUUCUGGAAAUGUUAAGAAUCUAAAUCUAGAUUGUUUUAAAGACAUUAGGAACUUGCUGAUCUUCUCAUUUCUAUCCAAAGUAGACAGCUAGACUACUUUGAAAAAUCUGCUUUGACAAUAUUUUUACAAAAUUUUAUUCCAUUUCUUGUUAGCAUUGUAUGAGGAUAGCAUGAGAUAUUUACAGUAUUAAUACUGACUCUGGUUAUAUUAACAUAAGUAAACAUGAAAUAAGCCACAUAAUCGUGAAGGCUAACUUAAUAUAGAAGCUUAAGACUAACUAUGGAUACCAAUUUCUAUGUGACUAUUCCUGCAUUCCUAAAAUAAAAUGAACAAUUUAAGAAAACAGCAAAGCUAAAGAUUCAAAGCAUUUAUGUUCAAAAAUUACAAACAGGUGCUUUAAAGUUAUAUAAUACUUUCUUCUGAUCAUUUAUCAUUUUCAUAACUCAUUUUAUGAAUUUAACUUGAUUUCAAGUGAGCCUUUAACUUUAUUGAGCUUAAUCAAUUAGUAAAGACCUUUCAUACCAUGUUCUUUUUAUUGCAUUUACAUCAUUCUCGGUUUGCAUGUACUCUCAUAAGCUGAAAAACUGAGAAAGAUAAUGGACUAGAACCCUAAGACUCAAGUAUAUUUGCUGUUUUCUUUGAUCAUAACUAUCAUUUAUGUGCCAUAACUAUCUUAAAACUUCUGAGCAUAGCGUGAUUUUUAAUACCAUCAUGAUCUGUUACAGAUUUUUCCCUUUGCCAGGACUACUCUUCACUAUAGCCACUUGCUUUUUUUGUGCAGUCAGCUAAGAACCUCCAGUCUCUGAAGCCUCCCUUGUUUACAUCAUGAACCUUGACAGAAUAAUCCCACUCUUCAUCUCUGCUAAGAAUGACUGAUUUUUUCCCCAUGUUCCCCGGCUCAUCCAACCUCAUUAUACUUAGCCAUCCAAGCUAGAACUUCUUUCUAAAUCCUUACUUGUCACCUUCCACAGCUGGUCUGAUUUUGUUGGUUCUGCCUCCUUCCCCACAUACCCUAAAUUUGUAAAUUCCUUCCACUACUAUUAUUUCUCAGCCCUUAACUUACCGCUACUCCUUGUCUAUGCCUUCCUCCACUCUAUAGCCAAGGUCAUGUUUGUAGAAAUGUAUUUCUGGUCAUGGGUAAAUCAAAAUGCUUUACGAAGUUACAUGGGUAAUUUCAUAAUCUGGCAGCAUUUUUUUCAUUCUUAUUUUAUCUCCUCCUAUCCACUACACAGUUUAUAGUCUUCACUCCGACCACACCAAAUCCCCCAGUUCCCUAAAUGCCUGUGAUAGUUUGUUAUUGUUCACAAUUAUUCCCUCCCUUUCUUCCCAUAGAUUAUAAUCCUUAUUCUUCUCCAUGUGACCUCUAGUAUGUCUUUUGAAAGAGAAGUAUGUAGUAUAUUUUUGACCUUCAGCUCAUUGAUUUUAGGCUUGGCCAUGAGAUUUCCUUUAACAGAAUGCAGAGAUGUGGCACAUGCCAGAUCUGAAGAGAAGCCGAAGGUUUAGUUUCCCCUCUUGCUCUUCCUGUCUGCGCGAGAGUGGGAACGUCCCACACUGUGCUGCUCGUCUAACUUGGAGCCUGCAAGAGAAAGCAUGAGAGCGCGCGAAAGCAGGGUCAGGCCCACCCAUCCUCUCCGUUGGCAUUACUGAAGAUAAUAUUUUCUUCUGUCUCUCUGAAAGUAUUUCUAUUAAUAUUUCAAGCACUACUGUAACUGCUUUGUGAUGCCUUCUUUCAGGUUAACAUUUAGAACUUUUCCAGCACGAUUCCUAGCACAGUCACACUGUAUUUUAUUUAUUUACAUGUAUGUGUGUUUCAAUCGCCUCCACUAGAAUGUUACUCUGGAGGCACAGGCUAUCUUUUCUUUAAUAAUCUCCACUGACUAGCCUUAAUUCUGGCAAAUGCUAAGGGUCCCACAAUUUGAAUUAACAAUGGCACAUCCAAUACUGAAUGAAAGAUAAAUGUUUAUUAUCUCCGGCAGCUCCCUUGGUUGGCAAUCUUUCAAAGGAAGAGUAUAGAUUUUGAAUGCGUUAACACAAUUAAAUGAUUUACUUUGUAAACACUUGUAUGGCACUGAUUAUGUACUAUGCAUUGUUCUAAGUUAUUUUAAAAACUAACUUGUCUUAAUCAAUACAAAACCCUAUGAGAUACUCAAGAUCAUCAUCCUUAUUUUCACAUGAACUAGCCAAGAUGCUGAGAGGUUAAAUACUUCGUCCAAGUAUUCAGUGAUAGAGCAGACAUUUAAACUUCAAUAUUUCCAUGUCAGAGCCCAUUAGUUCAAUCACAAGUCUAGCAAUAUUAAUAAGUAAUUUAGGGCCUCAAUUUCCUCAUCUUUAAAAAGAAGGUGUAAAAUCAGAUACUGACUAUGUAAAAUAUGUUACCCAAAGACCAAAAGUGAAAUAUAUUCCAGAAGCUAAAAUUUUAAUUUUCUGUAUUAAAUUUUAGUUCUGUGAUAAGUCUGAGGUAGGCUUACCAUUUAAUGGGAUCAUAUACCUCUGUAUGAGGUUAGAUGGUGACCCCCAGCACCCCAUGGGCCAAAUCACUUUGUCUCCUUGAGUUCACAUGGCUUCCAGGACCAAAGAAAGAGCCUCAGAAAAAAAAAAGUGUUUCUUUUUAAUUGAUGAAAAAUAUCAUACAACUAGUUAAUGAAUAUGAAGAAUGUUAUUCAAUUUCUUGAUGGAAUAACAAAGGUUAAAUGACAAAUGAUAAUCUAACAACAUAUGUGAUCUUCAAGUUUGCCUCUUCACAGAUGAAUUUCUUGUUCAUAUGGGACUAUCCCUACAUUCCUAA